rnacentral:rRNA from 1 species
AAGCUAACAAGGUCUCCGUUGGUGAACCAGCGGAGGGAUCAUUACCGAGUUUACAACUCCCAAACCCAAUGUGAACGUUACCAAACUGUUGCCUCGGCGGGGUCACGCCCCGGGUGCGUCGCAGCCCCGGAACCAGGCGCCCGCCGGAGGAACCAACCAAACUCUUUCUGUAGUCCCCUCGCGGACGUAUUUCUUACAGCUCUGAGCAAAAAUUCAAAAUGAAUCAAAACUUUCAACAACGGAUCUCUUGGUUCUGGCAUCGAUGAAGAACGCAGCGAAAUGCGAUAAGUAAUGUGAAUUGCAGAAUUCAGUGAAUCAUCGAAUCUUUGAACGCACAUUGCGCCCGCCAGUAUUCUGGCGGGCAUGCCUGUCCGAGCGUCAUUUCAACCCUCGAACCCCUCCGGGGGAUCGGCGUUGGGGAUCGGGACCCCUCACACGGGUGCCGGCCCCGAAAUACAGUGGCGGUCUCGCCGCAGCCUCUCCUGCGCAGUAGUUUGCACAACUCGCACCGGGAGCGCGGCGCGUCCACGUCCGUAAAACACCCAACUUUCUGAAAUGUUGACCUCGGAUCAGGUAGGAAUACCCGCUGAACUUAAGCAUAUCAAAGGGGGGGNAAGAAA